rnacentral:rRNA from 1 species
ACCCGCUGAACUUAAGCAUAUCAAUAAGCGGAGGAAAAGAAACCAACAGGGAUUGUCUUAGUAACGGCGAGUGAAGCGACAAAAGCUCAAAUUUGAAAUCUGGCACCUUCGGUGUCCGAGUUGUAAUUUGAAGAAAGUAACUUUGGAGUUGGCUCUUGUCUAUGUUCCUUGGAACAGGACGUCACAGAGGGUGAGAAUCCCGUGCGAUGAGAUGUCCAACUCUAUGUAAAGUGCUUUCGAAGAGUCGAGUUGUUUGGGAAUGCAGCUCUAAGUGGGUGGUAAAUUCCAUCUAAAGCUAAAUAUUGGCGAGAGACCGAUAGCGAACAAGUACAGUGAUGGAAAGAUGAAAAGAACUUUGAAAAGAGAGUGAAAAAGUACGUGAAAUUGUUGAAAGGGAAGGGUUUGAGAUCAGACUUGGUAUUUUGUAUGUCUUGCUUUCGGGUGGGGCCUCUGCAGUUUACUGGGCCAGCAUCGGUUUGGACGGUAGGAUAAUGACAUUGGAAUGUGGCACUACUUCGGUGGUGUGUUAUAGACUUUGUUGAUACUGCCUGUCUAGACCGAGGACUGCGUCUUUGACUAGGAUGCUGGCAUAAUGAUCCUAAACCGCCCGUCUUGAAAC